CUUCUUUUCCCCUCCUUAUUUCUUCCAUUUAUCUUGGUUUCUUCUUUCAUCUUCAUCUUAUGCAAGGUUAAUGUAUCAAAUCCGGAUGGUAUUGAAAGAAUGUUUAUAUGAACGGUUAGGUGGUGACGACAACGAUGUGGUUAAUGUUAUUUUCUAGUCCGGUGGAAGAUUUAGCGAUCUGUCAGGCGAUAAACCAUGUACAACGGUGGUGUGAAUAUGCUUCUAAAAAUGUCAAAAUCCAUAUAUGUGGUUGAAUUUGCCAAGAUGGUGUAUCAGUUGUUCCGCCUCAAAGCUAAAUCUAUCACACAAGCAAUGAAUUUGCCGAAUGAUAUAAUGCAGUAUCUUGGUCAGUUGAUUUCAAAUCCUAUCAUGCUUCUACAUUUAUUUAUAAUAAUUCCUCUUGGUGAAGGCAGCGUUUUGUAGUUAUUUUAAUGUAUAUUUGGUCCUGUCAUCUUAUAUUGACAAGUUCGCAACAACAACUUUAUGUUGUAGCUCCAAACUAACCUACUGUAAUAUAUAUAAGUCAUUUACCACUUCUCCUCAUACACUUCCAUUUCUAGAAUUUGAUGCAUUAGAACGAACACUAUAAUAAGUUUUCAUCUUCUAACUCUACCAUGGUAGUACAUGUCUCCUUAUAAGAUAUAUUUGGUAGUGCUUGUGGAAAUAAACGCAUGCCUAAAGUAUCAAUUUCAUGAAUGAUCAUCUGCAUGUUCUCAUGAUGGCUGAGGAGCAGACAGGUUGCUGUGGGGCGGAGAAAGGAAGGUCUUCUCAUAUUUGUGUUUUUGCUGAAAUACUGUGGUCGAACCGGAUCCAGAAUAUGGUGGCUAUGAGGUAUAUAUUGUUGCUUGAAUCCCGAGAUUAAAUCCUCAAAAACUAUCGGUUUCUGUCUCAGGCAUAGUGACUGAUCCUUGUGGCAUCAUGAUGUCAUCAUGAGUUUGAACAAAUUUGGCCCCGAAAGUUUAGGUAUUAUUCCUUUUUAUCAUAAAAAGCUCAACGUCUUCAGAGAUCAGCUAUCUUAAUUUGGAUUUGCAGCAACUCUAAUGGAGAAUUCAUAUUUGACCAUUCUUGGGUUGAUGCCUACUACAGGUGUGUUGUACCGUAUCAUCUAAAACUACAGUUUUGUGUGCCUUUAACUCGAUUAGCUAAGGUGAUAUCUGCCACGCAUGGUUGGGUUUAAGCGGAAGCGUAGAUGGUAUUCAUGUUGCUGCUGCCGAUUGAGGGGUUAUCAUCAGCCAGAAUGAGUAUAUGUGCAUGUGAAUGCUUUGCUCAAUGUUGUGACUGUUGGCUAGGAUACUGAUGUAAUUUUGUAGUGGUAAGUAAAGUGUUCGUUUCUCGGA